GUGUCAGCAGCCGCGGUAAUACGGAGGGUGCGAGCGUUAUCCGGAAUCACUGGGCGUAAAGGGCGCGUAGGCGGUUUGUUAAGUCCGAUGUUAAAGCGUGAGGCUCAACCUCAUCACGGCGUUGGAUACUGGCGAGCUGGACGGUUGGAGAGGAAGGUAGAAUUACCAGUGUAGCGGUGGAAUGCGUAGAUACUGGUAGGAAUACCCAUUGCGAAGGCAGCCUUCUGGACAACACGUGACGCUGAGGCGCGAAAGUGUGGGGAGCAAACCGGAUUAGAUACCCGGGUAGUCCACACCCUAAACGAUGCAUACUUGGUGUCGGCCCGUUGGGGUCGGUGCCGGAGUUAACGCGUUAAGUAUGCCGCCUGGGAAGUACGGCCGCAAGGUUGAAACUUAAAUGAAUUGACGGGG
rnacentral:rRNA from 1 species